rnacentral:rRNA from 1 species
AUUGAACGCUGGCGGCAGGCCUAACACAUGCAAGUCGAACGAGUGGCGGACGGGUGAGUAAUGUCUGGGAAACUGCCUGAUGGAUGGGGAUAACUACUGGACACGGUAGCUAAUACCGCAUACCAUCGGAUGUGCCCAGAUGGGAUUCGCUUGUUGGUGGUGUAACGGCUCACCAAGGCGACGAUCCCUAGCUGGUCUGAGAGGAUGACAAGCCAUACUGGAACUGAGACACGGUCCAGACUCCGACGGGAGGCAGGAGUGGGGAAGAUUGGACAAUGGGCGAAAGCCUGAUCCAGCCAUGCCGCGUGUGUGAAGAAGGUCUGCGGAGUGUAAAGCACUUUAAGUUGGGAGGCGUUACCAGCAGAAGAAGCACCGGCUAACUACGUGCCAGCAGCCGCGGUAAUAC